rnacentral:rRNA from 1 species
ACGCGGAGAGAAGCUUGCUUCUCACCGGCGACGAGUGGCGAACGGGUGAGUAAUACAUCGGAACGUGUCCGCUCGUGGGGGACAACCAGCCGAAAGGUUGGCUAAUACCGCAUGAGUUCUACGGAAGAAAGAGGGGGACCCGCAAGGGCCUCUCGCGAGCGGAGCGGCCGAUGACUGAUUAGCCGGUUGGUGAGGUAACGGCUCACCAAAGCAACGAUCAGUAGCUGGUCUGAGAGGACGACCAGCCACACUGGGACUGAGACACGGCCCAGACUCCUACGGGAGGCAGCAGUGGGGAAUUUUGGACAAUGGGCGCAAGCCUGAUCCAGCUAUUCCGCGUGUGGGAUGAAGGCCCUCGGGUUGUAAACCACUUUUGUAGAGAACGAAAAGACACCUUUUAAAAAAGGGUGUUGCUGACGGUACUCUAAGAAUAAGCACCGGCUAACUACGUGCCAGCAGCCGCGGUAAUACGUAGGGUGCGAGCGUUAAUCGGAAUUACUGGGCGUAAAGGGUGCGCAGGCGGUUGAGUAAGACAGAUGUGAAAUCCCCGAGCUUAACUCGGGAAUGGCAUAUGUGACUGCUCGACUAGAGUGUGUCAGAGGGAGGUGGAUUCCACGUGUAGCAGUGAAAUGCGUAGAUAUGUGGAAGAACACCGAUGGCGAAGGCAGCCUCCUGGGACAUAA